GCAUAUCAAUAAGCGGAGGAAAAAGAAAACUAACAAGGAUUCCCCUAGUAACUGCGAGUGAAGCGGGAAAAGCUCAAAAUUUAAAAUCUGGCGGUCUUUGGCCGUCCGAGUUGUAGUCUGGAGAAGUGCUUUCCGCGCUGGACCGUGUAUAAGUCUCUUGGAACAGAGCGUCAUAGAGGGUGAGAAUCCCGUCUUUGACACGGACUACCAGUGCUUUGUGAUGCGCUCUCAAAGAGUCGAGUUGUUUGGGAAUGCAGCUCAAAAUGGGUGGUAAAUUCCAUCUAAAGCUAAAUAUUGGCGAGAGACCGAUAGCGAACAAGUACCGUGAGGGAAAGAUGAAAAGCACUUUGGAAAGAGAGUUAAACAGUACGUGAAAUUGCUGAAAGGGAAACGCUUGAAGUCAGUCGCGUCUGCCGGAACUCAGCCUUGCUUUUCGCUUGGUGCACUUUCCGGUUGACGGGCCAGCAUCGAUUUUGACCGACGGAAAAGGGCUGGAGAAAUGUGGCACCUUCGGGUGUGUUAUAGUCUUCGGUCGCAUACGUCAGUUGGGAUCGAGGAUCGCAGCGCGCCGCAAGGCAGGGGUUCGCCCACUUUCGCGCUUAGGAUGCUGGCAUAAUGGCUUUAAACGACCCGUCUUGAAACACGGACCAAGGAGUCUAACAUGCCUGCGAGUGUUUGGGUGGAAAACCCGAGCGCGUAAUGAAAGUGAAAGUUGAGACCUCUGUCGUGGAGGGCAUCGACGCCCGGACCUGACGUUCUCUGACGGAUCCGCGGUAGAGCAUGUAUGUUGGGACCCGAAAGAUGGUGAACUAUGCCUGAAUAGGGUGAAGCCAGAGGAAGCUCUGGUGGAGGCUCGUAGCGAUUCUGACGUGCAAAUCGAUCGUCAAAUUUGGGGUAUAGGGGCGAAAGACUAAUCGAAACCAUCUAGUAGCUUGGUUCUGCCGAAGU
rnacentral:rRNA from 1 species